rnacentral:snRNA from 1 species
AUCGCUUCUUGGCCUUUUGGCUAAGAUCUAGUGUACUUUCUGUUCUUAUCAGUUUAAUAUCUGAUACAUCCUCUAUGCAAGCAUUCCUUGUAGUAGAAUACUAUAUUUUCCCAAGUACUCCAAAAGUACAAAAAUGCUAUAGGGGGGCUUUAGUGAAAGAAGUCCCCUUCCCAGA